GCGAGGCGGCCCCGGCCGGUAGCGGCUGCGGUUGCUCCCUGAGGCGGGGCGGGGCUUGGCGGAACGCGGCUAGCGGGACGGAGUCAGCAGACAUUGGGAAAUGUGAGGCAAAAGGAAUGUGAGUGGAUGCAGCUUCAGUUGGUUCUGAUGAUUCUGAUUCAAAGUGUUCAAAACUCUUUGGAAAGUGUUGCAGGAGUCACAGCAUUACUUUCUUCAAACUGAACCUCUGCAAACUCUUCAGGCAUGUCAGUUAUUGUGUUGAAUGCAAUUGAUGCUACACCAUGAGUGUCCAAACUUUUGUCUUGCCUGGGCCAUACUGAGUGAAGAGGAAUUGUCUUGGUCCACAUAUAAAGUAUGUAGGUUGCUCCAAAAGUAAUGCCUCCUCUUUAUUUCCAUGGAAACUGCAACGGAUACAAAGAGUGCAGUAAUGUUAUUUAAUAGAGCAAAUUUGAUUGAGCAAAUUCAC
ensembl:lncRNA